UACGGAGGGUGCGAGCGUUGUUCGGAAUCACUGGGCGUAAAGGGUGCGUAGGCGGUUCUGAAAGUCUGAUGUGAAAUCUCCGGGCCCAACCCGGAAAUGGCAUUAGAAACUACAGGGCUAGAGGCUUGGAGGGGGAACUGGAAUUCUCGGUGUAGCAGUGAAAUGCGUAGAGAUCGAGAGGAACACCAGUGGCGAAGGCGAGUUCCUGGACAAGUCCUGACGCUGAGGCACGAAAGCCAGGGGAGCAAACAGG
rnacentral:rRNA from 1 species